GACGAACGCUGGCGGCGUGCUUAACACAUGCAAGUCGAACGGAAAGGCCCUGCUUUUGUGGGGUGCUCGAGUGGCGAACGGGUGAGUAACACGUGAGUAACCUGCCCUUGACUUUGGGAUAACUUCAGGAAACUGGGGCUAAUACCGGAUAGGAGCUCCUGCUGCAUGGUGGGGGUUGGAAAGUUUCGGCGGUUGGGGAUGGACUCGCGGCUUAUCAGCUUGUUGGUGGGGUAGUGGCUUACCAAGGCUUUGACGGGUAGCCGGCCUGAGAGGGUGACCGGCCACAUUGGGACUGAGGUACGGCCCAGACGCCUACGGGAGGCAGCAGUGGAGAAUAUUGCACAAUGGGCGGAAGCCUGAUACAGCAACGCCGCGUGCGGGAUGACGGCCUUCGGGUUGUAAACCGCUUUCGCCUGUGACGAAGCGUGAGUGACGGUAAUGGGUAAAGAAGCACCGGCUAACUACGUG
rnacentral:rRNA from 1 species